CAAAAUGUAGCUAAAACAGAAAAGCACCUCCCUUACACUGUGAAGAUAUCCGUGCAAGUCGGAUCAUUUUGA
rnacentral:tRNA from 1 species